CCUGUAUCCAUCACCCGCCAUGCAACAGAUCACCCAUCAAGAGUCCUGCCGAAUCAACAGGCGACUUACCAGAACACAAUGUGGCCAAACACAGGGACCUUGAUGCCUCUAGAGUCAACCACAUACAACACCUCCGUUGCACAGACAGUUGCCAUACACAUUUGGUGAUCAGGAGUUUGUACGAAGGACUUUACAUUUGCCAUCUGUCAGCAGUGAGUCAUGGGCCAGUCACUAUUCGUCACCAAGCUUUGACAGUCAAGGUUCAGGUUCAGUUUCUGGUGCCUUGUCCAGUGCCCAUCAAAUCCAGUGGAUGUUAAUCAUUUUGAGAGCUGCUGGCUACCUUGAGGAUGUUCCAAACAUCCAUAACAACAGGGAGGCCUCACUUGCCGGUGGGAGAAGCAGAAGUCAUGUAUUACCAACAGAUGGCGAGUGUGGCCAACUAGAUGACAUGUUCCAGGAGAUGGGGAUAGCCACGACAUCUUCAAUUGUAAGGUGCAGCACUAAUGCAGGGAAGAUUGUGGUUGGCCAUGUGAUGUAUUUUUUCAGCAAUGUCGACAAUUCUGGGCAGAGAAACAACAUUGCCAGUGUGUAUGGUUUGGAUUUGCCAGGGAGGACCAGCCAUCACAACGCCUUCAAGUGCUUCACCCCUGGUGCA